GACGAACGCUGGCGGCGUGCUUAACACAUGCAAGUCGAACGGAAAGGCCCUGCUUUUGUGACGUGCUCGGGAGGCGAACGGAUGAGUAACACGUACAUACCCUGCCGUUGGCUAUGGGAUAGCUUCAGGAACCUGUGCCUAAUACCGUCUAGGAGCUAAUGCUGCAUGGUGGGGGUUGGAAAGUUUCGGUGGUUGGGGAUGGACUCGCGGUUUAUCAGCUUCUUGGUGGGGUAGUGGCAUACCAAGGCUAUGACGGGUAGCCGACCUGAGAGGUUGACCUGCCACAUUGGGCCUGAGAUACGGCACAGACUCGUACGGGACGCAGAAGUGGAGAAUAGUACACAAUAGGCGGAAGCCUGAUGUAGCAACGCAGCGUGCGGGAUAACGGCCUGCGGGUUGUGAACCGCUUUGGCCUGUGACGAGGCGAGAGUGACGGUAAUGGGUAAAGAAGCACCGGCUAACUACGUG
rnacentral:rRNA from 1 species